rnacentral:tRNA from 1 species
GGAGGGAUGGCCGAGCGGUUGAAGGCGGCGGUCUUGAAAACCGCUAACCUGAAUAAGGUUCGUGGGUUCGAACCCCACUCCCUCCGCCG